rnacentral:misc_RNA from 1 species
GAUGAAGAACGCAGCGAAAUGCGAUAAGUAAUGUGAAUUCCAGAAUUCCGUGAAUCAUCGAAUCUUUGAACGCACAUUGCGCCCUCUGGUAUUCCGGGGGGCAUGCCUGUCCGAGCGUCAUUUGCAACCCUCAAGCCCGGCUUGUGUGAUGGGUGCCGUCCCCUACGGGACGCGCCCCGAAGGCAAUGGCGGCGUCGCGGUUAUCCGAUCAGCCAAAGUGUAUGGGGCUUUGUCACUCACUUUACGGCCCGGACCGGCGCCAGUCCGAAUCAAUCUUUUUUCUAAAGUUGACCUCGGAUCAGGUAGGGAUACCCGCUGAACUUAAGCAUAUCAAUAAGCGGAGGA